AUGGACGCCACAAAGACAGCAGCCAAGGCUGUGGCGGCAGGCAACGGCGACGCAGACGCCGCGCCGUCGACCCGGCGGACGGCGGCGCCGAGGCCAGUACCUCGGCGGGACGAACCGCUGGCAGGAGAAGGCGGGGCUGCGGCCGACCCGGCGCCUGCGACGGCAACAACAGGCGCUACUGUUGCGGAGAGCGGCGUGGAGGACGAGCAGGUGGAGAGGUUCUACGCGCUGUUGGCCAACAUCCGGGCCAUGAGGGGCAUGAACGAGAGCGGGGGCGACGACGCCGGCGCGAGCACGGAGGGUGCCAGCGAGGUCUGCGGCGGCGGGAGGAAGCGCGCGCGCUGGGCAGAGCCGCCGUGGAGGCCGGCUUUCAGGCUGGAGGACUUCCAGGACGCCAGCGCGUCCAAGAAGGACAUGAAUGACGACGGUGCCGCCAGCCAUCGGCGGCCGGGCAAGGAGACCAAGGACGAAGCGGCGGAUGGCGGGAAGGAGGACGACGUGGCACGGAAUGGCCGUGGAGUCGUCACGCCGUCGUCAGAGAGGAAAGUUUGA
rnacentral:rRNA from 1 species